CCUACGGGUGGCAGCAGUGAGGAAUAUUGGUCAAUGGACGAGAGUCUGAACCAGCCAUGCCGCGUGAAGGAUGACUGCUCUAUGGGUUGUAAACUUCUUUUAUACAGGAAUAAACCUAGGUACGUGUGCCUUUCUGCAUGUACUUUAUGAAUAAGGAUCGGCUAACUCCGUGCCAGCAGCCGCGGUAAUACGGAGGAUCCGAGCGUUAUCCGGAUUUAUUGGGUUUAAAGGGUGCGUAGGUGGGUUGUUAAGUCAGUUGUGAAAGUUUGCGGCUUAACCGUAAAAUUGCAAUUGAUACUGGCAGUCUAGAGUACAGUUGAGGUAGGCGGAAUUCGUGGUGUAGCGGUGAAAUGCUUAGAGAUCACGAAGAACCCCGAUUGCGAAGGCAGCUUACUAAACUAUGACUGACAUUGAUGCUCGAAAGUGUGGGGAUCAAACAGGAUUAGAUACCCGUGUAGUC
rnacentral:rRNA from 1 species